UACGUAGGGUGCGAGCGUUAAUCGGAAUUCCUGGGCGUAAAGCGUGCGCAGGCGGUUUUGUAAGCCCGAUGUGAAAACCCCGGGCUCAACCUGGGAAUGGCAUUUGGGACUGCAAGGCUGGAGUACGGCAGAGGAGACUGGAAUUCCUGGUGUAGCAGUGAAAUGCGUAGAGAUGCGGAGGAACACCGAUGGCGAAGGCAGCCCCCUGGGCUAACACUGACGCUCAGGCACGAAAGCGUGGGGAGCAAACAGG
rnacentral:rRNA from 1 species